UUUAACGAGAGUUUGAUCCUGGCUCAGAAUCAACGCUGGCGGCGUGCCUCAGACAUGCAAGUCGAACGAUUAAACUUUCCUUCGGGAAAGAUAUAAAGUGGCGCACGGGU
rnacentral:rRNA from 1 species